CCUAACACAUGCAAGUCGAACGAGACCUUCGGGUCUAGUGGCGCACGGGUGCGUAACGCGUGGGAAUCUGCCCUUGGGUUCGGAAUAACUCAGAGAAAUUUGAGCUAAUACCGGAUGAUGACGUAAGUCCAAAGAUUUAUCGCCCAAGGAUGAGCCCGCGUAGGAUUAGCUAGUUGGUGAGGUAAAGGCUCACCAAGGCGACGAUCCUUAGCUGGUCUGAGAGGAUGAUCAGCCACACUGGGACUGAGACACGGCCCAGACUCC
rnacentral:rRNA from 1 species